CGAGGGCUAAGCGCACAGUUGGGCGCAGGAGAGGAUGCUCGUGGGACCGUGGCGCGGGGUCGACGUUGACCCCUUCAGCCUCGCGCCCCGCGCUGUCCCUGCCUGGCGGAGGCCGGACUGUGGGGGUAGCGUCUGAAGCCUGCGCGACUGCGGCCUGUGUUUAUCAAUCUGGGACACACGGCUCUGAUGGAAGAGAGAACCAAACUUACAUCAGACACUUGACCCCUUGGCCCGGAGCCAAACCAGAUCAGCCGGGCGAGCCUCCCCCAGGGCAGGCUUGUACAUGACAGAUGACACUUGCCAGAGAAGUCAGGUCACUGCCAUCUCCAGCCCCACAUUCCCAUCCCAAUUUUUUUUUUUUUAAAAAAGAACAAUCUAGAUAUCAGGCGUGCAAAUCACAAAUUGGAACCGGAAAGGGCCAGAUUCCAAGCCCUGUACCCCUGCCCCCAUUUUACAGGUGGGAGAACCGCUGCUGGGGACAAAUUUAUGUUCUUCCCCCUAGUGGGGGAAUUCAGAUUAGGAGGCAUCUUCAGGACAUCACAG
rnacentral:lncRNA from 1 species